rnacentral:rRNA from 1 species
UAGGGAAUCUUCCGCAAUGGACGCAAGUCUGACGGAGCAACGCCGCGUGAGUGAAGAAGGAUUUCGGUUCGUAAAACUCUGUUGUUAGAGAAGAACAGCGCAUAGAGUAACUGUUAUGCGUGUGACGGUAUCUAACCAGAAAGCCACGGCUAACUACGUGCCAGCAGCCGCGGUAAUACGUAGGUGGCAAGCGUUGUCCGGAUUUAUUGGGCGUAAAGCGAGCGCAGGCGGUCAAUUAAGUCUGAUGUGAAAGCCCCCGGCUCAACCGGGGAGGGUCAUUGGAAACUGGUUGACUUGAGUGCAGAAGAGGAGAGUGGAAUUCCAUGUGUAGCGGUGAAAUGCGUAGAUAUAUGGGGAAACACCAGUGGCGAAGGCGACUCUCUGGUCUGUAACUGACGCUGAGGCUCGAAAGCGUGGGUAGCAAACAGG